UACGUAGGUGGCGAGCGUUGUUCGGAAUCACUGGGCAUAAAGCGCGCGUAGGCGGCCCUGUAAGUCGGGUGUGAAAUCCCUCGGCUCAACCGAGGAACUGCGCUCGAUACUGUGGGGCUUGAGGACUGGAGGGGAGAGUGGAAUUCCCGGUGGAGCGGUGAAAUGCGUAGAGAUCGGGAAGAACGCCGGCGGCGAAAGCGACUCUCUGGUCAGUCCCUGACGCUGAGGCGCGAAAGCUAGGGGAG
rnacentral:rRNA from 1 species